UACGAAGGAUGCGAGCGUUAUCCGGAUUUAUUAGGUUUAAAGGGAGCGUAGGCGGUCUUAUAAGUCAGUGGUGAAAUCUCGAUGCUUAACAUCGAACGUGCCAUUGAUACUGUAGGACUUGAGUACAGUUGCCGUUGGCGGAAUGUGUCAUGUAGCGGUGAAAUGCAUAGAUAUGACACAGAACACCGAUUGCGAAGGCAGCUGACGAAACUGUAACUGACGCUGAGGCUCGAAAGCGUGGGGAUCAAACAGG
rnacentral:rRNA from 1 species